GAUGAACGCUGGCGGCGUGCCUAAUACAUGCAAGUCGAGCGAACAGACGAGGAGCUUGCUCCUCUGACGUUAGCGGCGGACGGGUGAGUAACACGUGGAUAACCUACCUAUAGGACUGGGAUAACUUCGGGAAACCGGAGCUAAUACCGGAUAACAUGUUGAACCGCAUGGUUCAACAGUGAAAGACGGUCUUGCUGUCACUUAUAGAUGGAUCCGCGCCGCAUUAGCUAGUUGGUAAGGUAACGGCUUACCAAGGCAACGAUGCGUAGCCGACAUGAGAGCGUUAUCCGCGACACUGGAACUGAGACACGCUCCAGACUACUACGGGAGGCAUCCGUAGGGAAUCUUCCGCGAUGGGCGAAAGCCUGACGGAGCAACGCCGAGUGAGUGAAGAAGGUCUUCGGAUCGUAAAACUCUGUUAUUAGGGAAGAACAAAUGUGUAAGUAACUAUGCACGUCUUGACGGUACCUAAUCAGAAAGCCACGGCUAACUACGUG
rnacentral:rRNA from 1 species